CUCCUGGUUUAAAAUUUUGCUUUACUAUUCCUUUAAGAUUUCCUUAUUUCUCAACUUUCAGCUUUUAAUUGGUUUUAAGUCUUUCAGAAUACUUUAGCAUCAUAUUUUAAUCUUUAUUCUCUCUUCCUUUCCUUUUUGGCACUAUAACUUUUCUACCUUUUCUCUUAUUUAUUGUUUCUCUGUCAAUCAAUCUAGUUCAAAUAAUGGCUUGUAAGAAGCACAUUGAAAUAGGAAAAUUUCUCUGCCCCUCCCUCCCUUUUUGCCAACUGUCACCGAACAAAGUCAUUCCCGUUGACUCAAGUGGUGGGCAUUUUAUUUUAAGAAUGAAUGUGCAAAAGAGGAAACAUGAAUCUCAUCUACCAGUAGGCCAGGCAUCAUGUCAGUCCUAUGAGAAGUCCUCAAAAAGAGCUGGAACUGUUGUAGAUUUGGGCCUCCCAGGCAUGAGAAGCAAACCAAACCAAACAAACGAAAAGAUCAGAAGCAAAUGCACUAUCAGUGUGGGACUCUUCAUUCUAUACUUUAUUAACGUGUGUAACCCAGCUACAUCUGAAUUUCAAAGAUAAGAAGAUAAUCAUAUGGACAUCCAGGAAGAAGAAUCAAGCCACCCAAAAGGGAAACAAAGGUCAAGUUCAGGUAGCUCCAGAUUCCUCCAUUGCAGUAUUCAACAAAGACAGAGGAGUGAGGUUUAUACCAUUGCUACUCAGAAAUGUGGUCCAUGAUCCUGCAGCAUUGGCAUCACUUGGGAGCUUAUUAGAAAUGCUGAAUCUCAGUUGUCAUUCCAUAUCUACUGAAGCAGAAUCUCCAUUUGACCAGAUUUUCAGGUGAUUCCUAUGCAUUUUAAAGUUCUGAGGGAACUAAAAUGUGAUGCAAUUUUAAAAACUUAUCUCAGGAAUCCCUAGUAUGGAGACAACAAAUUAACAUUUUCAAAUCUGAAAGAACUGAAGCAGUGCUUCGCAACCCAGGCUGCUUCUUUGAAACUUGCUUGCAACUUUCUUUGGUCUUUUAAUUUUUUUUUUUUCUGAGAGAGCCUGUUUAUGUAAUUUCUUUGAGACUGGAGAUAUUUAUCUGUCUGCAAAUUAGACCUACAUGAGGAGUUUAUUAAUAUUAUUUUUUAAAUACUGUUGCAUGGGUCAUACCCUCAGAGAACCUGAUUGAAUUGGUCUGAGACGAUGGCCAGAAGUCAGUAGUUUUUCAGAAGCUCCCAAAGUCCUUAGAGUAUGCAGCCAGUUUGAGAAUCAUUGAAUCAAGGGAAACCAAAUCCAUGAACCCUUCUUGGAAAAAUUACUGAAAGAUGGACUUGAGACAACACAGAAAUGAAUCGAAAUAAAGACCUCAGGAGCAAAGAAGCUGCGGUGAGAGGUAAUUAUUGAAUUAAUUUAAAAAUAAAUUCCAACUAAAAAACUUGGAAUUUUAGUUAAAGAAUAUAGUGAUUGGAGCUCCAGAAGGCAGCUUGUCUACCCCCUAAAUUUCUAUUUAUGUUUGAUGCGCUCUCACACCAAAUCCAUUAUUUCCUGAGCUUUACAUCAUUAGUUCUCAGAG
rnacentral:lncRNA from 1 species